rnacentral:rRNA from 1 species
UCGAGAAUCUUCGGCAAUGGGCGCAAGCCUGACCGAGCGACGCCGCGUGCGGGAUGAAGGCCCUCGGGUUGUAAACCGCUGUCAGUAGGGAGGAAAUGCAUCAGGGCACUCUCUGGUGUUUGACCGAUCUGCAGAGGAAGGCCGGGCUAAGUUCGUGCCAGCAGCCGCGGUAAGACGAACCGGUCGAACGUUAUUCGGAAUCACUGGGCUUAAAGAGUGCGUAGGCGGUCUUGCAGGUGAGGUGUGAAAUCCCCCGGCCCAACCGGGGAACUGCGCUUCAAACCGCAAGGCUUGAGGGAGAUAGAGGUGAGCGGAACUGAUGGUGGAGCGGUGAAAUGCGUUGAUAUCAUCAGGAACACCCGUGGCGAAAGCGGCUCACUGGGUCUCUUCUGACGCUGAGGCACGAAAGCUAGGGUAGCGAACAGGAUUAGAUACCCCGGUAGUCC